rnacentral:rRNA from 1 species
CACCGGCAGCUCUAGUGGUAACAAUUUUUAUUGGGCCUAAAGCGUCCGUAGCCGGUUUAAUAAGUCUCUGGUGAAAUCCUGUAGCUUAACUGUGGGAAUUGCUGGAGAUACUAUUAGACUUGAGACCGGGAGAGGUUAGAGGUACUCCCAGGGUAGAGGUGAAAUUCUGUAAUCCUGGGAGGACCGCCUGUUGCGAAGGCGUCUAACUGGAACGGUUCUGACGGUGAGGGACGAAAGUUAGGGGCGCGAACCGG